UACGAAGGGGGCUAGCGUUGUUCGGAAUCACUGGGCGUAAAGCGCACGUAGGCGGGUUGUUAAGUCAGGGGUGAAAUCCUGGAGCUCAACUCCAGAACUGCCUUUGAUACUGGCGAUCUUGAGUCCGGGAGAGGUGAGUGGAACUCCGAGUGUAGAGGUGAAAUUCGUAGAUAUUCGGAAGAACACCAGUGGCGAAGGCGGCUCACUGGCCCGGUACUGACGCUGAGGUGCGAAAGCGUGGGGAGCAAACAGG
rnacentral:rRNA from 1 species